AUCAAGGGGUGCUAGUUGUUGGUAAUCAACAAUGUGAUCGGGCAGCUGGCUGAGAUGAUACCCUCUAACCUGAUGCGGGUAAUGCCGACGUAGGGAUGGAUAGG
rnacentral:ncRNA from 1 species